rnacentral:rRNA from 1 species
GUGGGGGAUAUUGCACAAUGGGGGAAACCCUGAUGCAGCGACGCCGCGUGGAGGAAGAAGGUUUUCGGAUUGUAAACUCCUGUCGUUAGGGACGAUAAUGACGGUACCUAACAAGAAAGCACCGGCUAACUACGUGCCAGCAGCCGCGGUAAAACGUAGGGUGCAAGCGUUGUCCGGAAUUACUGGGUGUAAAGGGAGCGCAGGCGGACCGGCAAGUUGGAAGUGAAAACUAUGGGCUCAACCCAUAAAUUGCUUUCAAAACUGCUGGCCUUGAGUAGUGCAGAGGUAGGUGGAAUUCCCGGUGUAGCGGUGGAAUGCGUAGAUAUCGGGAGGAACACCAGUGGCGAAGGCGACCUACUGGGCACCAACUGACGCUGAGGCUCGAAAGCAUGGGUAGCAAACAGGAUUAGAAACCCCGGUAGUCC